CCGUCCCAGGCCAGCAGCCCCUCACUUGCCGCUGCUCAGGGCCAGCUGGCUCCCGCCCCAGGCCUGACCCCAGGCAGCAGACUUGGUGUCCUGCCUGCUGGGCCUGCCUGGGUUGGGUUGGGGGUGUGGUGGCCAGGAUGUCCAGCAGGCCCACGGAGGCCUCUGCGCCAGCACCCCCCACUCCUCUCAGGGGCCUGGCCUCUCACAGUCUGACUGGCUCCGCAUAGGGGUCAGGGCAGGCGGCCCCCGGGGGUGGGCGCCGUGAACCUGGAGGUUCCCUGCGGAGUCCGUCCUGUCAGUGAAGCAGGCCCUUCGGUCACUCCCCAGCACUGCUGGUUGACAUUUGAGGGGGCUGCAGGCGCCCUCGGCUUCCCACGUGGCUCAGUCUUAAAGUCAAAGUUUCAAUCUCUGGGCCCAGAAGAUCCUCUGGAGAAGGAAAUGGCAACCCACUCUAGUAUUCUUGCCUGGAGAAUCCCAGGCAAGAGCCUGGCAGGCUACAGUCCGUGGGGUCACAGAGAGUCAGAUAUGACAGCCUGCUCGCAGGCACGUGGGCGGGGACCCCCACCCCAGCAGGGCCAAGGCCUCCGCCUUUGCCCUUCCUGAACCUAUGGCAGCCUGGCUCCCUGCUGCCUCCCAGCUGGGGCCCCACGGGGACCCAAAUGAUGCCCAUCCCAGCCCUCUGCCCGCCACCCUCAUCUGGGCGUUCCCAGUGGCGGGCCUGGCAGCAGGGAGCCGCUGACUCGCGGUUUCUGAGACGCGCCAGUACGGGGUUUCGACCAGGCCCAGGGCCCCUCCCAGGCAGGCGAGUCAGCUGCCUGGGGACCCAGGGCUGAGGCUGCCACACGGGGCAGGAGAACAAGCUGACCCGGGGCUCCCACCGCUGCCCUGACCCUGGGAUCCAUCCUGGCGCCCAGCCCAGCCCUGGGCCUUCGGAGGCGGUGUUUGGAGUCUGCUCCUGGCGCCCAGCCCAGCCCUGGGCCUUCGGAGGCAGUGUUUGGAGUCUGCUCCUCAGCCCAGCCCAGCCCAGCCCAGCCCAGCCUCGGGCCUUCAGAGGCGGUGUUUGUUUGGAGUCUGCUCCUGAGCACAUGCCACUCACACCCAGAGCCUUCUGUGGCUCCCGUGGUUGUCUCAGCAGCGGUGGCCCCUGGGAGGGUGCGGGGAGGUGCCCGUGUGCGUGGCAGGUGGUGGUGCCUGGAGCCCACGCCUGGCGGCAGGGACCCCCUGCCAGCCGCCCUGCACCUCUGAUGUUAACUCACAGCAGUCCCUGCGCGGCCCCAAGCCCCAC
ensembl:lncRNA